AAAUGAGAUGCUCUUUGAAACUUCAAGAACUUGUGGAAAUGCAAUAGAAUGAAACUUGGUAUUUUCCUCUUGCCUUGCUUGCUUUGAAAAUACAGCAGCCUCCAUUCAGAUUAGGGUUUUAGAAGCUUAUAUGUGUAGGGUUUAAUGUGUCUUAAUGGGCUUGAAAUAUUUGUUUGGAUUCAUGAACAACAUGUAUGAAAAUGAGGUGUGAAA
rnacentral:lncRNA from 1 species